rnacentral:misc_RNA from 1 species
GGAAGUGAAAGUCGUAACAAGGUUUCCGUAGGUGAACCUGCGGAAGGAUCAUUAAAAAUGAAGCCGGGAAACCGGUCCUUCUAACCCUUGAUUAUCUUAAUUUGUUGCUUUGGUGGGCCGCGCAAGCACCGGCUUCGGCUGGAUCGUGCCCGCCAGAGGACACAACUCUGUAUCAAAUGUCGUCUGAGUACUAUAAAAUAGUUAAAACUUUCAACAACGGAUCUCUUGGUUCUG